rnacentral:misc_RNA from 1 species
AACGGUCUAUACCUGCGGUACCUGCGGAGGGAUCAUUCAUAAUAGAGUUAUUUAUGGCACUCUAAUAAAAAAUCCAUAUCCACCUUGUGUGAAAUGUUAAAUUCCUUGUCCAUCAUUGGUCAAGGGUUUUUUUAAUAUCAACUCAUUUUUUUUUUGUCUGAAAAAUCGUUAUGAAUUUACUUAAUUCAAAACACAACUUUUAACAAUGGAUCUCU